UGACAAAGUCCUGACAGAAAUGUAAAUGCCUAAUACUUUUUUGUUAUUGGAAGGAUUUACUUGAAAUUUGGAAUCAAGCAAGAUGAGAACUUUUAUUUAAUAAAUAAAAUAAAAAGAAUAAAACAAAUAAUUUAAGACUUAGAAAACUUGACCUGACCAACUUGACCUCGAAAAUGCUAUUGUCCUGACAAUGUCCUGACAGAAAUGUAAAUGCCUAAUACUUUUUUGUUAUUGAAAGGAUUUAUUUGAAAUUUGGAAUCAAGCAAGAUGAGAACUUAUUUUAAUAAAUAAAAUUAACAAAAUUAAAAAAAAAUAAUUUAAGACUUAGAAAACUUGACCUGACCAACUUGACCUCGAAAAUACUAUUGUCCUGACCGAUAUGAAACGGCUAAAAAAUAAUUUAUUAUUGACAGGAUAGACUUCAAAUUCGAUACCAAGGAAGAUUAAAUCAUUUAUUACAAAAAUAUAAGAAAAAAAAAGAAAAAAAAUAUUUUAAGAGUUAGAAAACUUGACCUGACCAACCACGUCCAACCGUGACAAAUGUCCUGACCGAUAUAAAACUGGUAAUUUAUUUCUCAAAUUCGGUCGGAUUGACUUCAAAUUUGACACAAGACAAGAAAGUAACAUUGAGUAAAUACUCAUUUGAAAAAAAAUAGGGGGGAAAUACUUUAAGGGUGAAAAAAACUUGACCUGACGAACAUCGACUUUGUUAUGAGUAAAUGACCGAUAUAAAAGUGCUAAUACUUGCAACAGUGUUGGUAUGAUUGAGUUCUUAAUUGAAACCAAGUCAAAUUGUAACGUUUUUAUUUUUAUACUUGCUGCAAUAAAUUGGAAACAAAAUAUUUCAAAGGAAAUAAAUACUUGACUUAACCCCUUAAACUUAAUACACAAACAACAACAUUUUUAGUUCUUACCUUAUAUUGUAAUUGAAUUUAUAUAUUUCCUAUCCAUAAAAUACAACAUCCAAAGCAAAUAAAUUUUGUUAAAUGAAAAGAUAGGGGAAAUAUGAGUUGCUGAGUGACUGUGAGUAUUGUUUACCCCUUUGUAACACAAAUCUACUUAAUUUGAUUAAUAAUUCAGAUUGACUAAUGAAACUAAUUAUUGAAUUAUUAACCUCUGUCAAUUAAAAACUAUAAAAAUGUAUAGUGAUUAGCUAGCUACCUACUGAUUUUAAUAACUAAGUUAAUAGAAAGUUUUCUUUUUCUUCUUGGUGCAAUAACUAAGUUAAAAAAAUGUAUUAAAAUAAAG
rnacentral:lncRNA from 1 species